rnacentral:rRNA from 1 species
AUUGAACGCUGGCGGCAUGCUUUACACAUGCAAGUCGAACGGUAACAGGCCGCAAGGUGCUGACGAGUGGCGAACGGGUGAGUAAUGCAUCGGAACGUGCCCAGUCGUGGGGGAUAACGCAGCGAAAGCUGUGCUAAUACCGCAUACGAUCUAUGGAUGAAAGCGGGGGACCGUAAGGCCUCGCGCGAUUGGAGCGGCCGAUGUCAGAUUAGGUAGUUGGUGGGGUAAAGGCCUACCAAGCCGACGAUCUGUAGCUGGUCUGAGAGGACGACCAGCCACACUGGGACGGAGCCACGGCCCAGACUCCUACGGGAGGCAGCAGUGGGGAAUUUUGGACAAUGGGCGCAAGCCGGAUCCAGCAAUGCCGCGUGCAGGAAGAAGGCCUUCGGGUUGUAAACUGCUUUUGUACGGAACGAAACGGUCUGGGUUAAUACCCUGGGCUAAUGACGGUACCGUAAGAAUAAGCACCGGCUAACUACGUGCCAGCCGCCGCAGUAAUAC